UCAAUGUGGAUACCCCUGGGAGGUCAGGUUAUUCUCAGGGUUCUGUCCAGGUGCCAUAGAGGAGCAUAGGGCUCUACCCCAUGAUGUACAGUCCCUUUCCAUGAUAUUGGAAAGCCAGGCCUUCAGUCUGUGCCCGCAUAUUCCUACAGCUUCUCAGAGUCCUGUGGACAACAACUGAGGAGACAAGCCAUGCAAAAAACAUCU